AGGCUUAGUUGAGUUGAGUAUGAUACUCAAUGUUUAUAGUAUCUUAGGAAUGAUGAAAAUUAAGAAGAAAGGCAAAUCAAAUUUUACUCCUUAUCUUUUUAGCUAGUGAAGUAAGUGUGCUUUCUCAUUUGUUUAGUGCUAAAAAUAAAUAAAUAAAUUAUGAUUCGUUUAAAAAUUAGGACCUUCUUUUUCAACUAAAGUUUCCUAUUUCUAGAAGCAACUUAAACAUGAUAUCAAAUGAAAAAAUUC
rnacentral:misc_RNA from 1 species